rnacentral:rRNA from 1 species
CGGACGGGUGAGUAACACGUGGAUAACCUACCUAUAAGACUGGGAUAACUUCGGGAAACCGGAGCUAAUACCGGAUAAUAUAUUGAACCGCAUGGUUCAAUAGUGAAAGACGGUUUUGCUGUCACUUAUAGAUGGAUCCNCGCUGCAUUAGCUAGUUGGUAAGGUAACGGCUUACCAAGGCAACGAUGCGUAGCCGACCUGAGAGGGUGAUCGGCCACACUGGAACUGAGACACGGUCCAGACUCCUACGGGAGGCAGCAGCC